GGGUACCGCUCCCGAAAAUCUGCAGCGCUCGGUACAAGCGCGCAAUCUGG
rnacentral:ncRNA from 1 species